GGGUCAGUAGGUUGGUCGUGCCACCGGUACGUACUGGUCUCACUGAUUCCUCCUUCCUGAAGAACCGUGAUGCCAUUAAUUUGGUGUUGCGGGGAAACAGGACUGUUACUUUGAAAAAAUUAGAGUGUUUAAAGCAAGCUAACGCUUGAAUACAUUAGCAUGGAAUAAUGAAAUAGGACGAUCGAUCCUAUUUUGUUGGUUUCUAGGAUUGACGUA
rnacentral:rRNA from 1 species